UACGAAGGGGGCUAGCGUUGCUCGGAAUCACUGGGCGUAAAGCGCACGUAGGCGGCUUUCUAAGUCAGGGGUGAAAUCCUGGAGCUCAACUCCAGAACUGCCUUUGAUACUGGAGAGCUUGAGUCCGGGAGAGGUGAGUGGAACUCCGAGUGUAGAGGUGAAAUUCGUAGAUAUUCGGAAGAACACCCGUGGCUAAGGCGGCUCUCUAGUACGGUACUGACGCUGAGACGCGAAAGCGUGGGGAGCGAACAGG
rnacentral:rRNA from 1 species